rnacentral:tRNA from 1 species
UGGACCGGUGGCAGAGCGGUUGAUUGCGCUUCACUGAAAAUGAAGUAGGCCUCGAAAGGGGUCUCGUGGGUUCGAAUCCCAUCCGGAUUGA